UCAUCAAAAUCAAGUAAAAAUGGCAAAUCUUUCAAAAACUCACUUUUAUUUUGGUUUAGGCAUUUAAUCAAACACCUUGAGGGCAUAAACUAAGAUUCAUCAUUUUUAUACUCAUAUGAACCUCCACACCCUCAAUUCACCCUCAACGAUGUCUACUUUCUUUGUAAUUGUCAAAUAGUACCAUCUUUCAUGUUUUUAAAUAAAAGCAUCGUUGUUUUAGAAUCAUCAAAUUCUACUCAGAUUUUGGUCAGCAAUUAAACAAAUUUAGUAAUCAAACCAUAACAUGCAUUUGAAUCUAAAAUCCAAUAACAUCAAAUAUUCAUUCUAGCAUCUCAAUCAAGGUUUCUCCAUAGAAAAUCCAACACUAGUAACCCUAAUUUCGUGGGUAUAGAACCCUUAACCUAACAACCCGAAAUUCAUGAAUUUUACUAAUUCAAGAUGAAGGAU
rnacentral:lncRNA from 1 species